AGCGACAGGAAGGAGGAACCAUAGAGACAUGAAGUGAGUCAGUAGAGAGCCAUAAAUGGUUUUGGAGAAUGCUUUUGAGAGAGAAGUGACAUAAUUUGUCCUGAACAUUAGAAGAUUAUUUUGGCAGCAGAUGAAUUGGAGAAAAGAGAGACUAAAAGCUGAGACCAAUAAGGAAGUUAUUGUAGUGGAUACAUGAGAGAGUCAUCCAAGUCCAGUGAUAAGACACCAGAACAACUGGGGAUCACCCAGUAUGGAGUAGAUGAUCAUGCUGUCUUCAAUAUCUUCCCAGCCUCUAGGUGUUGCUGCUUCAGUCACUUUUGUGACUGUUGGAACAAAUUGUUCUCAUCCACCAAUUCCACUGGGGGAAGUCUACAUAUACUUGGGAAUGACAGGAAACUCGGAAAAAGAAUGAAAUAUUAAAAGAAGAAACAAUAUCUCCACAUUUUUUCUAGAGUAUUUUCAGAGGGACUUACUGUGACAAAGAAAUCUGAUGGGAUCAUAGGCCUGAGUGAGACCCCUUAUUAGCUGUGUCACUUGAG
rnacentral:lncRNA from 1 species